AAGCUCAGUGACCGAUGGGAGAAUGCACCAUACGUGGUCGAGGGCCAGCAGCGGCCUGGACAGCCAGUAUAUACAAUUCGGCCCGAAGGAAAAGCCGGGCCCGCUAGAGUGGUCCAUCGGAACAUGAUCCGCCCCUGUCCGAACUAUUCCAGCCCCGUAGAAGAGGCGCCAAAGGAGCCUGAAGCUGUAGCCCCGUGGAUAGCAGGAUGGGCCGUGAUUCCAGGAGAACGGGGAAAUGUCCCCGCAGAAAUGGCCCCCAGAGACCCGAUGGAUAUGCCUGCGGACAUCGACCCUGCCUCGCCACCACGACGGUCCCAGAGGGAGAACCGAGGUCGGCCCCCGGCACGCUAUGGAGAAUGGGCGACUGAAAGGCGUUCUAGGGACUAGAACGGUUUGGCAGGGGGGUAUGUCACGGGGGUGACGAAAGAGAAGCGGAACUAAGUCCCGUUGGAAUUGUGUUCCCCCCGGGACGGUGUCGCGGUAACACCGGUCCACUUCCGGGUUGCGCCCGAUGUCACAAUAACAACGCUAAUGAUAGAUUGACAUCUGGUGUGGGGAGUUUGACGUGGCGAUCUGUGAGAGGAUUAUGGAAGCGGAGUAACCACAUAAAAAGAGAAGUGCAGAGACCAAAAGUGAGGUGAAUUUCUGGGACGGUUGGGCUGGCGUGUGGAGGUAUUCGAGGACUAUUGUGGGGUUUCGGCUAUCUGGCUGUGCAACAGUUAUAUCAGCGAUCGAGUGGAGAUAUUCAGGACAGAAAGAGUGUGAGUUCUGGAAAGCAAGUGGAGACCAGGCCGCGCCAUCACUAUCGGAGGGAAGUUAAGAGACCUGAUCUGGGACUUCGAUCAAUUGUAUACAUCUGGACUGGGAGUGAUAACGUUGUGAAGUGGACGGAGCCAUCGUUGGAUCGCAGGAUCCUCUGGGCUGAACGCCGCAUGUGAUGUCCCUAUGAAAGGAGAUCGCAGGAUCCUCUGGGCUGAACGCCGCAUGUGAUGUCCCUAUGAAAGGAGGUGGACACACGAAUUAUUCCUUUCUCGGUCUUAACUGAAGCAUCUCCCAGCCGUAAGCCCAUCACCCAUUAAAGACUACAUACCUGCUGUCGAUUGCUUACUCUGCUGUGCAGAUCGUAGGAUCCCCUGGGACGAAUGCUGCAUGUGAUGUCCCUAUGAAAAGAGAUUGCGGGAUCCUCUGGGCUGGACGCUGCAUGUGAUGUCCCUGUAAAAGGAGGUGGACACGAGAAUUAUUCCUUUUCCCGGUCUCGACCGAAACAUCCACGAGCUCUACUUACCCGGAUAUCCCCCCCUCAUUCCGGGACGGGUGACAGACUAUCCUGGCUCUUGCCGGCCCCGUACAGGCACGAAUUGCCGACGACUCCACGCCUCCUCGGCGUCCGAGGUCUGGCUUCGUUCUGGUCGGGAGACACGGAAGGAACACUGAACUUUUAAAUUGCUUUUAACCAAAUAAAACCUUGUUCAAUUUUUUU